GUGCCUGUGUUGUAAUGGCAGCAUCAGAAGUUUCGCCAACUGCUAGGUACGGGUUCGAUUCCCGUCAGGCACU
rnacentral:tRNA from 1 species